UCCUCCGUGGCGCAAUUGGCUAGCGCGUCUGACUGUUAUCCAAGACAAUCGAUACUUUCCAAUAUAUGGGAAUUGAAGAGAAUCUGGAAAGCAAUAUACAUCAGGAGGUUCGUGGUUCGAGCCCACGCGGGGGAG